ensembl:lncRNA
CGCAGACAGCGGGAGCCUUCCUGAGGGAAUGCCGCGACCCAACGGGCGGGGUCCGCCGGGGAGGGGCGGGGCCUGGUUUGGGAAACACGGGUUCUGUCCCUGAUCCAAGAAGAUCCCAUGUGCCAAGGAGCAACUGAGCCUGAGCACCGGAACUACUGAAGCCCUCAUGCUGUAGAACCCAUGCUCUGCAACCAGAGAAGCCACUGCAAUGAGAAGCCGGUGCCCUGCAACGAAGAGUAGCCACAGCUUGCUACAACUAGAGAACAACUGGCAACAAAGACUCAGCACAGCCAAAAAUAAAUAAAUAAGC